rnacentral:rRNA from 1 species
UACGUAGGGUGCAAGCGUUGUCCGGAAUUAUUGGGCGUAAAGAGCUCGUAGGCGGUCUGUUGCGUCGGCUGUGAAAACCCGGGGCUCAACUCCGGGCCUGCAGCCGAUACGGGCAGACUAGAGUUCGGUAGGGGAGACUGGAAUUCCUGGUGUAGCGGUGAAAUGCGCAGAUAUCAGGAGGAACACCGGUGGCGAAGGCGGGUCUCUGGGCCGAAACUGACGCUGAGGAGCGAAAGCGUGGGGAGCAAACAGG